CUGCUAUUUGGUCUCCGUUUGAAACAUCCAGUGGACAGGUGCAGAACUUCAGUGGUUGCUCAGCACAGAGGCGAAAUAGUGGUUUGAGUGUCAAUUCCACAUCUCGAAUUUCACCUACCCUCCCUGAACCAGCGGUUGGGCUAGAACAUCCAUUAGCACGCAGAAUUCACAGCGAUCCAAUUAAUGGUAUCUCUUGGCUGGCCACACAGGGCUCACUGUCCUCUUUCUCCAGCAGCACUGGCUAUUCCUCGUCUUCCUCUUUGCCAGGCAGCUCAUCUGUGGCCUCUGGAUCUCCCACAGACUCGAGCAGCUCUGAUGGCCAGCGCAAAAGUGG